AGGGAGUGUGUGUGUACAUUGCACGAGGAAGGUGUGUUCAUAUUUGCUUCCGGGACUCAACCUGUCUGUUGGGAUUAAAGUUUAUUUUCUUUCUCCUCAUGUGUAUGGGAACGCUACACAUUGAGGUUGAGAUUUUUCUUGUGCGCCAGUAAACAACAGUGGCCAAUUGUGGAAUUACCAGAGAACAACUGAAUAAAGUGGAGGCUCUUUUUAGCUUUGAGCUGGCCUUCAUCGUGACGGCCUUUGUCGUCUUCACGCUCUUCGGCGUCGCCUCCGUCUGCAUCGCGCCGGACGACGACCUGCGGACGGAUGAAGGUGUCAACACGGCUGCAAGAGGGAAGCAGAGAGCCAUC